rnacentral:lncRNA from 1 species
AGGUCCAGUAUUGAGAUACAGUUUUAAAGUAUCUUUUCCUUCAGUCUUAUCAGUGUCUCUCUCUGAUUGUAGUAAAUCUUCCUUCAGAGAUAACAUCAAAUGUUCACCUUGGAAGUCCUUUACGAAUAUGAAACAUACACUAAAUGGUCGUCCUCCUGUUCUCUACCCUCCUCCUCUCCCAUGCCAGGCGUGGACCCUAAUGGACCCAAAUUGUUGUGCUGCAAUAAAUGGUGGAGGCAAGAGCAGCCAUAGACACAGAAUCAAAGUCAAUCAUGAGUCAGACACAUACACCAUUGGUGCUGGAAAGGCCCUAAAGAAUCCUGCAGCCCAGUGAAUCUCAAACUUUACUGCAUGCAACUGGAAUCAAGUGAGAAUCAUUGGAAUCCAUAAAAAUACAGAAGCCCAGGACCUCACCAAUCAAGGAUCUAAUUUCUUAGAUCUAGUCAUUCUGAUGCAAACCAGUUCAGAGAACCACUGUUCUAACUUAACUUUAAAGAUGAAGAAAACCAUCACUUAUAAAAUCUCCGGUCAUUAUUUCUUCCUAUCCAUUUGCAUUACUACUACCUUAAUCUCAACUUUUGUUACCCCAAUAUCUAUAACAGUCUCUGGCAGUAGGUGUUAUCGGAUAAAUGUUUGUUAAAUUAAUGAACGUUUAUCUUUUGCUUUGGGAUCCUUUUCAAUGCUGAUAAUUAUUCCACCUCCAACCAAUCUAUGGCAUGCUGUUGAUUAAUAUUGCUUUGAAAAUUGAAAGAACAAUCUUGAGUAAGGAAGGCAUUAUUUAUCCAUUUUACAGAUGAGAAAACUGAGGCAAGGAGAAGUAAGUGAUUAGUAUUUCUUUUGCAGAACAUAGUGAAGGAGCUAUUGCUUGAAUUAAGAGAUAGCAUGUUUGUGAAGACAUAAUUCAUAAGCCCUUUGUAUAAUUUAGCUAUGUCACAACUAUUACGUAUCAAGAAAUGUGACAUAACAGAGAGAGAGUGGAAGACAGAGGGAACGGGAGGUAAUAUGUUGUAGUAGUUAGGUAGGCAGAGAUAAGAGCUUGACUCCUGGUUCAAAUCCCACCUCUAUCAUGUGUGGCCUUUAGUUGUAUGACCUCAGUGUGUUUAUUGAUCUCUCGAAACCACAUUUUUCUUAUCCAUAAAAGGAUGAUCAUAAUAAUAUUUUGUUUGGGGGUUAUUAUCAGGAUUAAAUGAAGAUUAAGUGUAAAAGCUUAAUAGAUCAUCUGACAAAUAGUAAAUAGUCAAUAAAUUUUACUUAUUAUUCA